AUGAUCUUCGAAUUCUAAUUAUUCAGUUUUAGGUAUAAUUCGGUUUAUUUCUCAAAUGAUUUCAUAUGAAGUUAGAAUAAUAAUUAUUAUUAUAAAUUUAAUAUUUUUAAUUAAUAGUUUUAAUUUAAAUGAUUUUUUAUAUCUAUCAAAUUAAUUUAAAAUUUUUUUUUUUUCUUUUUUUUUUGUUUAUUUUAUUAUUAAUUAGAUUUUUAGCUGAAAUAAAUCGUUCUCCUUUUGAUUUUUCUGAGGGUGAAUCAGAAUUAGUUUCUGGAUUUAAUAUUGAAUUUAGAAGUUUAUCUUUUAUUUUUAUUUUUAUAUCUGAAUAUAUAAGAAUUAUAUUUAUAGGGAUACUAUUAUGUGAAAUGUUUUUUGGUUUGAUAAUAAAUAAAUUUUAUUUAAAUAUUUUUAUUUUGAUUUUUAUAUUUAUAGUUAUUUGAUUACGUGGGUUUUUACCACGAUUUCGUUAUGAUAAAUUAAUAUAUUUAGUUUGGAAAUUAAUUUUACCUUUGUCUUUAUUUUUAUUUGUCUUUAAUUUUUCUAUUAAAUUAUUUAACUUAUAUCAUUAAUUUAAGUAUUAAGUUAAUAGAAUUAAAUUCUAUUUUUUAUUUUCAAAAUAAAUAUUUUAAAUAAAUUAAUUAACUAAAUUAAUAAUUUAUCUCAUAACUUUAUGAUAUAAAAGUUAAUGAAAAAGUAAGAAAAAUAAAUUGUUGUAAAAAUUUGCCCUGUUGUAAUAAAUGGGUAUUCAACUGGUUGUAUCCCAAUUCAGGUUAAAAUAAAAAAUGUUAUAAUAAAUAUUCAGAAUAAAAAUUUAUUUAAUGGGUAAAAUUUAUUUCUUAAAAAAUUUUUAUUGUUUAAUAUAGGUAAGAUUAAUAAAAUUAAAAUUGAAAGUAUUAAAGCAAUAACCCCUCCUAAUUUAUUAGGGAUUGCUCGUAAAAUUGAAUAAGAAAAUAAAAAAUAUCAUUCUGGUUGAAUGUGAUUUGGUGUAAUUAUUGAAUUUGCUAUAAUAAAAUUAUUGUGAUCAUUUAGUAGGUAUGGAAAAAUUAAAGCUAAAAUAAAAAAUAUUCAUAUAAAUAUGAUUAAUCCAAUUAAAUCUUUAAUUAGAAAAUAUGGAGAAAAAGUAAUUUUAUCAAAAUUUCUAUUAAUUCCUAGUGGAUUAUUAGAACCUGUUAAAUGAAGAAAGAAUAAGUGAAUAAAAGUAAAUAAAAUAAUAAUAAAUGGUAAAAUAAAAUGGAUUGAGAAAAAUCGUGUUAAUGUAGCAUUAUUAAUUGAGAAUCCCCCUCAAAUUCAAAUAACAAUUGAAUUUCCUAAAUAAGGAAUUGCUGAUAAUAAAUUUGUGAUUACUGUUGCCCCCCCAAAAUGAUAUUUGUCCUCAUGGUAAUACAUAACCUACAAAUGCUGUUAUUAUUGUUAAUAAUAAUAAAAUUACUCCAAUAAUUCAUGUUAUUUUAAAGUUGAAAGAAUUUAUAUAGAUACCUCGUCUAAUAUGAAUAUAAAUUAUAAUAAAAAAUAUAGAAGCCCCAUUUGCAUGGAAAGAUCGGAUUAAUCAUCCAAAGUUAAUAUUUCGAUUUAUAUUAAUAAUUCUUUGAAAAGCUAAAUUAAUAUCUGUUUUAUAAUGGAAGGCUAAAAAUAAUCCUGUUAAAAUUUGAUUAAUUAAACAAAUUAUUAAUAAAGAUCCAAAAUUUCAUAUAAAACUAAUUCUAGCUGGUGUAGGUAAAUUUAAUAUUGGGGAUAAAGUUUUUAGUAUAUUUUUUUUUCAUUAAUUAUUUUUUUGUCGAAUUGGUCCUUUAUUAAUUUUUAGUAUUCAAAUAAUUAAAAUUAAUAUAAAAAAAAGGAUUAAGAUAAUUAAAUAAAUUAUUAAAUUAUUUGGUAUUAUGAAUAUAUUUAAUAAAUUAAAAUUAUCUUCAAAUAUAAAUUUAUUUUCAUAAUUGAAAUUUUCAAGAUUGAGAUUUAAUUUUAAAUAAAAGAUUAACAUUAAAAUUAAUGUUAAUUUAUAAAUUAUAAUUUUAUAAUUUUUAUUAAUAUUUAAUUCAUUAAAAGCAAUUCUUGAAAUAUAUAAAAAAAUAAUUAUUAA